AUUCUGUCUCUGAUCUUUGUCCUAAGGUCAAGUUUAACAUCUGAUCUUAGAAGUUAAAUAUCUUCUACAUCCUUGACUUGAAAGUGCCAUAUCAAACAGAUUUUUGGGACCAAAGGAUGGGUUAGAACUUCUUCUAUCUAUCCUAUGCAUCUGCCUGUUACUGCAGCGUCUCCAGAAGCAGCACACCAA
rnacentral:snRNA from 1 species